GACGAACGCUAGCUACAGGCUUAACACAUGCAAGUCGAGGGGUAACGAGAGGAAAGCUUGCUUUCCUUGUCGACGGCCGGCGCACGGGUAAGUAACGCGUAUCCAACCUGCCCCCAACUAGGGAAUAACCUUGCGAAAGUAAGACUAAUACCCUAUAAUUUCCUCAGAUGUCAUCUGACAAGGAAUAAAGAUUUAUCGGUUGUGGAUGGAGAUGCGUCUGAUUAGCUUGUUGGCGGGGUAACGGCUCACCAAGGCAACGAUCAGUAGGGGUUCUGAGAGGAAGGUCCCCCACAUUGGAGCUGAGACACGGUCCAAACUCCUACGGGAGGCAGCAGUGAGGAAUAUUGGUCAAUGGGCGGAAGCCUGAACCAGCCAAGUAGCGUGCAGGAUGACGGCCCUAUGGGUUGUAAACUGCUUUUAUACAGGAAUAAAGUUAGCCACGUGUGGUUAUUUGUAGGUACUGUAUGAAUAAGGACCGGCUAAUUCCGUGCCAGCCGCCGCGGUAA
rnacentral:rRNA from 1 species